rnacentral:rRNA from 1 species
GACGAACGCUGGCGGCGUGCCUAAUACAUGCAAGUUGAGCGCUGAAGGUUGGUACUUGUACCAACUGGAUGAGCAGCGAACGGGUGAGUAACGCGUGGGGAAUCUGCCUUUGAGCGGGGGACAACAUUUGGAAACGAAUGCUAAUACCGCAUAAAAACUUUAAACACAAGUUUUAAGUUUGAAAGAUGCAAUUGCAUCACUCAAAGAUGAUCCCGCGUUGUAUUAGCUAGUUGGUGAGGUAAAGGCUCACCAAGGCGAUGAUACAUAGCCGACCUGAGAGGGUGAUCGGCCACAUUGGGAGUGAGACACGGCCCAAACUCCUACGGGAGGCAGCAGUAGGGAAUCUUCGGCAAUGGACGAAAGUCUGACCGAGAAACGCCGCGUGAGUGAAGAAGGUUUUCGGAUCGUAAAACUCUGUUGGUAGAGAAGAACGUUGGUGAGAGUGGAAAGCUCAUCAAGUGACGGUAACUACCCAGAAAGGGACGGCUAACUACGUG